UUCCUGGCUCCACUACCAGCUUGGCCUGUAAAGGAAACUUGUCGUCCAAUAUCAACUCCUUUAAAUGGAGACAACUUGAUCAUUGGGACAGCCAAGGCUAUGAAUGUCUUCUAUAACUAUACCGGAUCCACCUCUUGCUUUGACAUUGGGAGUGGAGACAUACCGAACCUUGGAAUCUCUGGAUGGGACUAUCAGUCUUGCACAGAAAUGGUUGCUCCAAGUUGUUCCAACGGAAAAACAGAUAUGUUUGAGAAAUCUGCAUGGGACUUCAAGGAAUACACAAAUGGUUGUCUUAAAAAUUGGAAGGUGAAACCAGAUAUUAACUGGAUAGAGACUCAAUACUGGGGCAAAAACUUGUCUGCAGCAUCCAAUAUAAUAUUCAGCAAUGGUCUCUUGGAUCCAUGGUCCUCAGGGGGAGUGUUAAAAUCUCAGUCAGACUCAGUAGUUGCCAUAUUGAUACCUAAUGGUGCCCACCAUCUGGACUUAAGGGGCUCCAACAAAGCUGACCCAGCUGAUGUGGUGUCUGCUAGGAACCAAGAGAAGAAAUACAUUGCCACCUGGUUGAAAUCUCCAUAGAGUUGUCUAUCUUUCCUUGAACAGACCUUAAGAACAUUAAUUUAACAAAAACAAGUCAUAAAUCAUAAUUAAUUUACAUUUUUGGAAAAAGUUUACAGCUUUUGGAAGCUAUUGAUUUCAUAUACACAUGCUAUGUUGGCAUGACGUAGCGUUGCAUAAUGAUAAAAGGGGAAAAUUAUAUUUUUGAAUGUACAACCACUUUUUAUAUAUUAUGUAUUUAUGCAAGAUCGAAAAUUACCAGUACUAUACAUAUGGUGAUACUUAUUAAAUCUACUUAAAAACUGUUCUUCAUUUACAUGGGUUUUUUUAAAUAUUAAAUUGAUAAACAUUGAUGUGAUAUGAAUUUUUCAUUUUGUAUUCAAAGAUAUUUGAGUCCUGUCACUCAGGCUUCAGAAUCUCCAAAUUAAAUCUCUUUUG
rnacentral:misc_RNA from 1 species